rnacentral:lncRNA from 1 species
GAGCAGGCCGUCGGGGCCUCGCCGUCUGAGACUGGCUCCGGUUCAGAAUCGAGCGUCGGCGGUCAAGCCGCACGUCUCCUGAAACCGAGAACAGCCAGCUGAUGCUCAGCAUCAGCACCAUCGCCUCGGCCAUCGCCGACGCCUCCGUCAGCACCGACCCGUCGCAGCUGGCCGCCAUGAUCGUGGAACUGUCCAAAAGAAGCCGGGCCAAGAGUCGAGGCAGUCCAGCAGGGCCGCGGCGAGCAGCACCGAGGAACACACCUCGGCUCCACCUACGCUCCCUGACUGGGAUCAGACUGCAGCUCUGCAGAAAACCACCUGCGUUGGGGAGCUGAGUGCCUUCGACAUGGAGAAGUACCUGAGCGGCGGGACACGUCGGGCAGCAGCGACGCCUCCGCGGCGCACACCACGUUCGACCUGAGCGCCUGGGCCGAGAGCCUGGGCCGAUCCCAGAGGAACAACCCAGGCUUCAGAUCCUGAGAACCGGAGCUGCUCGGCUCCGCCGGCGACAGCCGGGACCGGCAGGUCGCCGCGGGGGAAAACCAGAGAGACCAAGAGUUUAUCAGCAGCAGCCGAUCCCAGCGCUCUGUCGCCUCCCAGUAGGGCCCACUGCAAGAGGAGCUCCAUCCCUCGUCCUCGGUCGUCUCUGAGAAGAUCCGUGGGCUCGUCGACUGCUUCUGAUCACUCCGCCUCGAACGGGUCCAAACCACAACUGACUUCAGAAACUCAACACCUGACGAGAACCUCUGCUUCUCCACCUCGCCUGGGAUCCCACAGUGAGGAAUCGGGUCGUGGGUCAAACUGCCCUCUCAGUCUCGCCAGGACAGAGCUGUCGAGUCUUCAGAGACGGACCCGCCAACAGGAAGUACGACGGCGGCUCCCAGAAUGCCGAGCUUGGAGAAGCCGGCCGGUGUGUCCGGCCACAGCGAGAAGCCAGCAGCAGAUCCUGCAUCCGCGUUUCCUGCGCCGGGCGUGGAGGAGAGUCAGUGCAGCUUCAGACCGUCCACCUCUCCUCUCACCCACUCCUCCCCAGUCAGACCUCCAUUCCCAGUGCAGACGGGUACCGUACGCUCACUAUACCUCACAUAUGUGAAAUUCCACUCAGUACUGAUACAGUCAGGGAGCUAACAGUCCAGUCCUCAGUCUCUUCUGUUGUCACCGUUUUGAGUUUUGGCCUGAGCGCUGCGGUUCAUCCCGGUCUCUUGUCCCGGCAGCUUGUUGUCUCCGUCGUCCAGCGGCGGUGUGGCAGACAGGCGUCCUGCCCUGGACCUCUCCCCCGCUCUCCCUGCUCCAGCCCCAGCCUCAGCCGACUCACCUUCAUCUCCGUGAACGACGGCAGAGCCGGGCCGACGCCGGAGAGGCCGAAGGUGUCAGUGGAGCCGGGCCGAGCGUCCCUCACCGAGUGAGCCGAGCCUCUGCACGGAGCUGUCCGCAUUCUGUCACUGAAGAAGUGACGACUUUCAGUAGAAAAGUUUCAGUUCUGGAUUCUUAAAGUCUGUGUGUCUGUGUGUGUCUGUGUGUGUGUGUGU